rnacentral:rRNA from 1 species
UGGCUCAGAUUGAACGCUGGCGGCAGGCCUAACACAUGCAAGUCGAGCGAGAAAGCACUUCGGUGCGAGUACAGCGGCGGACGGGUGAGUAACGCGUAGGAAUCUACCCAGUAGUGGGGGACAACAUGGUGAAAACCAUGCUAAUACCGCAUACGCCCUAAGGGGGAAAGCGGGGGACCUUCGGGCCUCGCGCUAUUGGAUGANCCUGCGUCGGAUUANCUUGUUGGUGAGGUAAAAGCUCACCAAGGCGACGAUCCGUAGCUGGUCUGAGAGGAUGAUCAGCCACACUGGAACUGAGACACGGUCCAGACUCCUACGGGAGGCAGCAGUGGGGAGUAUUGCGCAAUGGGCGAAAGCCUGACGCAGCCAUGCCGCGUGUGUGAAGAAGGCCUUAGGGUUGUAAAGCACUUUCAAUUGGGAAGAAAAGUUGAUCGUUAAUAGCGAUCAGCCCUGACAUUACCUUUAGAAGAAGCACCGGCUAACUCCGUGCCAGCAGCCGCGGUAAUACGGAGGGUGCGAGCGUUAAUCGGAAUUACUGGGCGUAAAGCGCGCGUAGGCGGUUAGUUAAGUCGGAUGUGAAAGCCCUGGGCUCAACCUGGGAACUGCAUUCGAUACUGGCCCACUAGAGUGCGAGAGAGGGAGGUAGAAUUCCACGUGUAGCGGUGAAAUGCGUAGAUAUGUGGAGGAAUACCGGUGGCGAAGGCGGCCUCCUGGCUCGACACUGACGCUGAGGUGCGAAAGCGUGGGGAGCAAAC